rnacentral:rRNA from 1 species
CGGGCGUCUUAACAUGCAAGUCGAGCGAACAGACGAGGAGCUUGCUCCUUUGACGUUAGCGGCGGACGGGUGAGUAACACGUGGAUAACCUACCUAUAAGACUGGGAUAACUUCGGGAAACCGGAGCUAAUACCGGAUAACAUGUUGAACCGCAUGGUUCAACAGUGAAAGACGGUCUUGCUGUCACUUAUAGAUGGAUCCGCGCCGCAUUAGCUAGUUGGUAAGGUAACGGCUUACCAAGGCAACGAUGCGUAGCCGACCUGAGAGGGUGAUCGCCACACUGGAACUGAGACACGGUCCAGACUCCUACGGGAGGCAGCAGUAGGGAAUCUUCCGCAAUGGGCGAAAGCCUGACGGAGCAACGCCGCGUGAGUGAAGAAGGUCUUCGGAUCGUAAAACUCUGUUAUUAGGGAAGAACAAAUGUGUAAGUAACUAUGCACGUCUUGACGGUACCUAAUCAGAAAGCCACGGCUAACUAC